AGAAAUACAGGCAUUAGUUUAGAGAGAGAGAGAGAGAGAGAGAACGUGGGGGUGACGGUGUACGAGACAAAAGAGGGAGAAAGUCAGGCCCACAGAACCGCCCAUGCGCACGGUCUCUCUCUCUUACCAAAACCAAGUCUAAACUCUAAACCAUCCAUCAUCGAUCCAAUACCUUGACCUAACCCUAACCCAACAUCACUAAUGCUACAUUACACUACACUACACCAUACCCAAAAAAAAGUUAUUAUUAUUAUUUUUUUCUAAAUUAAAAAAGACCACCCAAACAGUUACUACUCACCACCUCUCUCUUACUCUUAUUCUUCUGUGGUUCUUCAUUUUCAUCCAAACCUUUACCCAACCAAUUUAAUUGUCUUUAGUUAAUAGGAGUAGGAGAUCAUCAUAGUUCAUAGAGCAGCAGAAACAGGCUAAUCAAGCAAAACAAGCAAACGACGAUGACUUGAGAGAUUAGAUGGAAGCUGAUAAUUUGGUGGCUGAUGNNNN
rnacentral:lncRNA from 1 species